rnacentral:rRNA from 1 species
GACGAACGCUGGCGGCAGGCUUAACACAUGCAAGUCGAACGGGUGUAGCAAUGCAUCAGUGGCAGACGGGUGAGUAACACGUGGGAACCUUCCUAGGGGUACGGAACAACUCAGGGAAACUUGAGCUAAUACCGUAUACGCCCCCGGACUUGAUCCGGGGGAAAGAUUCAUCGCCCCUAGACGGGCCCGCGUCGGAUUAGGUAGUUGGUGGGGUAACGGCCUACCAAGCCUGCGAUCCGUAGCUGACUGAGA